UGGACAUUUUGAAGUGUGAGCUCUCUGUAGAAGGCAAGCAUACGGAACUCCGUCUGGUAUUUCUUCCUGGAAAUGUUGGAAGAAGUGAAGUGGAUUUCCUAGGAUGUGGAUGGGGCACACCUACUAUUCUUAAAGGAGUAUGAUCCCAGUUCUUGUCUUUAAAAGAAAUAGAUGAAUGUGGUAGCAAUCCAAAGUCUGUGCUCCUGUGCCCUUCUAAUAGAAGAAAUCAUAAAAAUGUAGAGAAAAGUAGGUAAGAAAUGCACACACAGGAUAAAAAUGUAAAAGGUAAACUAUGUUUUUAUGCUAUCAAUUCAUUAUCACAACUGCUGAAUGUUCCUCUGUCUUAGACUAGGGGCUAUCUUUCCAGAAUUCUCAACUGUAAGAAAACUAUUAUAUUAAAAUGCUCUCACAAUGAAUCCCAUGGGAUUGGGGAAAGCUAUGUUGCAAAUGGGAUUUUGCACUGUGUGAAUUGCCAAUCCCAAAAGAUUGUGAGAUCCUGUGGCUAGGCACAGGUUCUACAAUAUGUGCAUUUGUGAAAAGGGAAUGUCAUCACUACAUAUUAUUUUUACCUUUGGCAAGAAUUUUAUAAAAUUUCAGAGCAUAUCACACUCAAAAAUACUUCUAUAAGGGUGGCAAAAUCUAAAUGAAAUCGCUCUGGAUGCCAUACUAUCAUGCGUUUAUUAAUUUGUUCUUAUAUUGUUUUUGCUUUAUUUGACCUGGAAAAUAAAUGAAAACUGUAAGUUGCUAGUCCUAUAAAAUCAUCCACCUGUUGAAAACAUAGCAUAGCAAAUACUGCGAUGGACAUCGGGGAGGAAAAGGUAAGGAAAAGGAGUGAAACUUAGGAGAACAGAUGCCAGAAAAAAAAUGCAAGGAAGAAAAUAAUGGGAGAUGGAAGUCUCCUUUCUCUUUUUAGCUUCCAUUUUGGAUAUGAGCAGAUGAGAAGGGAAAAGAAAUUGAUAUGGAGAGAAACACACGGUGGAGAAUAACCCAAGACAAUAAUACACAGAGGCACUUGCCCCAAUAAAAAUGUCAUGUCACAUGCUAAAGGACAGAGGAAGCACACAAUUGCCCAUAUUAAAUUUUCACUUUGUUAUAAGGCAUUCACUGAAAGAAAAUUGGUUAAAUCUGACCACAUCACCCAUUGAAGUCCCUGUUUUACAACUAACAUAAUGGGCGUGUGGAAAUGCCUCUCCAUCCACCAGGGGGCAGAAAUGAGCCCUUUGAGUGGCCAGAGAUCUUUGGACUUCAACUUUGAUUCGGAAUAGUUGUAAUUUGCAUAGCCUUUUCACUCUCAGACAUCACUCUUUCUGUCUCUAGGAACAUAACCAUAUAGACAUUUCAAAGAAACCUCUUAAUUCUGUGAAGCUCUAAACUUCACUCUACCAAUAAACUCCCCCACGUGUUUAGUGUGAACUACCUUACGUUCACACUAAAGAGAUGUGACGGGAAUGCUGGGACUUACAUAUGGUGGUCUUCAUAUUUUGGUGGAUUUUUCUUUUGAGGCAUGGAGUGCCUGACCUUUGCGUAUGCAAGAUUCGCUAGCAUGUAAACUCUGUCACUAUUUCCCAAGGACAUAGAAACAGGGCUAUUAAUAACUUUAAUGCUUACCGUUUUAUGUAGUAUUUUUCUGUGGAAACUAUCUAUUAAAAAGUCAAAUUUG